UGGACCCUAAUAAGUCCCUUAAG
rnacentral:tRNA from 1 species